rnacentral:rRNA from 1 species
UAACUCCGCCCGGCCGACCGGCGCACGGGUGCGUAACGCGUAUGCAACCUACCUUUUAAACCAGGGGGCGAUCACUGAGAAAUUGGUACUAAUUCCCCAUAACAUUCGAGAAGGCAUCUUCUUGGGUUUAAAAAACUCCGGUGGUUAAAAGAAUGGGCAUGCGUUGUAUUAGCUAGUUGGUGAGGUAACGGCUCACCAAGGCAACGAUACAUAGGGGGACUGAGAGGUUAACCCCCCACAUUGGUACUGAGACACGGACCAA